rnacentral:sRNA from 2 species
AGCGCGCGGCCGCCGAAUCCGCGUCUCGCGGAGCCGGGGACCCACCUCUUCCGGGGUGAAUCGGAGCGCGACCGCGCCCCGUAGGGCACUUCCUGCCCGAACCCGUCAGCUAACCCGGUAGGCGGCAUGGAAGAAGGA